GUGUGAGUCAGUGCCCUGAGGGAAUAAUGAGGAAUUCAUUGCUGUUGCUACAAAGAAUGAAGUAGGAGAAACAAUGCACAUUUUCUCCUCAGAAUGAGAGGAACAAAUAGACAAGAAGAGUACCAGACUUGAAGAUCAUGGAAUUGUAGUGGUAGCUAAUUUGUAGUAGCUAAUUUGAAAAUGAGAUCAGGGACUGCCUUCUGGCCAGCAUGGAGUGGACCAGAAUGAGACACCCACAUAAAGAAUGGAGCAAUCUUCCAUUUUACCUGAAAGUCAGAAAAUUCAACUUCUCCAAGUGUCCAAUUUCUCCAGGUGUAGAUGCCCUAUCAUGCAGCUGAUCCACAGGUAAUGGAGACAAUUUACAAUACAAAAACCAGGGACCGUGGAGAAGAGUUGCUGGGGUAUACGAUGAUCCAGUCUGUUAUUAUUGCAGGACAGUUUCCAAUAGGGCAUACCUUGGAUCCUGUCAAACCUGGGAAAUAUUCUGACGCUGUGGUUCAUAAAGACUUAUGACCAUUUCAUCUCUUGUUUGCCAAUGUCUGUGGAAGUGUUUAUCUAAAUGGCUCAACAUUUGCUCAAAUCAGCAGCAUCCCCAUCAUCAUCCUCAUCACCACCAUUAUUAAAUUGUU